rnacentral:rRNA from 1 species
AGAGUUUGAUCCUGGCUCAGAACGAACGCUGGCGGCGUGGAUAAGACAUGCAAGUCGAACGCUGAUUACAGGGUAGCAAUAUUCUGUAGUCGGAGUGGCGCAAGGGUGCGUAACACGUGGGUAAUCUGCCGUGAAGUCUGGGAUAACUUGCUGAAAGGCGAGCUAAUACCGGAUGUGAAAGUUGGAAGGCAUCUUCUGAUUUUCAAAGUUGGGGACCGCAAGGCCUGACGCUUCACGAUGAACCCGCGGCCUAUCAGCUAGUUGGUGAGGUAACGGCUCACCAAGGCUAAGACGGGUAGCUGGUCUGAGAGGACGACCAGCCUCACUGGAACUGAGACACGGUCCAGACACCUACGGGUGGCAGCAGUCGAGAAUUUUUCACAAUGGGGGAAA